GAGUGAACGCUGGCGGUAGGCCUAACACAUGCAAGUCGAACGGCAGCACAGUAAGAGCUUGCUCUUAUGGGUGGCGAGUGGCGGACGGGUGAGGAAUACAUCGGAAUCUACUUUUUCGUGGGGGAUAACGUAGGGAAACUUACGCUAAUACCGCAUACGACCUACGGGNGAAAGCAGGGGAUCUUCGGACCUUGCGCGAUUGAAUGAGCCGAUGUCGGAUUAGCUAGUUGGCGGGGUAAAGGCCCACCAAGGCGACGAUCCGUAGCUGGUCUGAGAGGAUGAUCAGCCACACUGGAACUGAGACACGGUCCAGACUCCUACGGGAGGCAGCAGUGGGGAAUAUUGGACAAUGGGCGCAAGCCUGAUCCAGCCAUACCGCGUGGGUGAAGAAGGCCUUCGGGUUGUAAAGCCCUUUUGUUGGGAAAGAAAUCCAGCCGGCUAAUACCUGGUUGGGAUGAC
rnacentral:rRNA from 1 species